rnacentral:lncRNA from 1 species
GCAAAUGCACCGGGGCUUGCCUUAGUUGCAGAGACAGAGGUCUAAAUCCCUCUAUUAAACCCCAGUUAGAUGGCUCCCAUCACUUGAUGAGCAGGCACUGAAGCAGACUCCUCUUCAGAAACCACUUCUUGAAUUUCAUCUUCUUCUUCUGGGAAUUCUACAUGUAAAGAUAUGAACAUGAAUGCUUAUGCUGAUGCAACUUGAAAAUAAAAUACUAAAAAGCAUCACAAGACUUACACCUCUCUAAACGUGCACACAAAAACUAAUAAAACCUUAAGAGAGCUAAAUACUUAAAUAUCACAACUCAAUUCACCAACUAAACUAGGAAACCUUGCCUCCGUAACCAACCAAGCACUUCAUUUAUGCCUUAAGCAAGGAUCCAAACUGCAUGCACUACAAGUUAUAGUGUCCAAGAAUCAGUCACAAUUCACUGAACCUGCUUUCAGUUCUCUGAAUUCAUCUUCCAUUGCUCCAUUCCUCUCCCCAAUUUCUUCACCGUAACAAGCCCAACUAUUCACAUGAAACUUGUUUGCCUUACCUUGGUAUUUCACUUUGUUAUGGAACUCCUAACCUAAAACCCCAUGAUUUGGUCACCAAAGAGCUCCAAACUGAGCACCAACAGUGAAAUUCCAGUUUUCAGUUAACUGAAUCCAGUUCAUUAGCAAUACCGCUCCCUUUUGCUUUCUUCUUUGUUCAAGCCCAGAUAUCUAACAAUUCUUCUCAACAACCAACCAACCUUUGUGAACCAAUAUUACUCUCCUACUAUAGCCCUUCCCAUUUGGUAUAAAACCCCUAAGCUGAAAAUACUUAGAACAGUAGCUAUGGUGCACAAAAGUUAGAGCAAAACACUGAAAAGUUCAGUUCCUUGAUCUGAAACAGCACCUUACCAUGUCUGAUAGAGAGUUUUGCAAUAGGCUUUUCUCAAAAUUCCAUAAAUCAACAAGCCAAUCUACUUGUAUAAAACUGGUUCUCCUACACUUAGGUCUUUCACCUUUCUAUAAAACUCUUAACCCAAUUCUGGUUUGAUUAAUUACCACAGAGCUCCAAAGUUGACUAAACAAUACCCUAAACAGGUUUUCAGUUAGCUGAAACAGCCCACUCCAAGUCUGACAGAAGGUUUUGUAACACUAUUUUCUCGCAAUUCCAUAUGAGGGCUCAAUGUAUUUCCUUACUAUGAAUGGUUCCUCUAUAAUCUCUCUCCAUCUUUGUUACAACAGCUACUAGCUAACCCUAAACAGAUCUCAAGUUACAGAGCACCAAACUUGAGGUGGAAACGCAAAGGCUAAAUUUCAGCUAACUGAAAAAGACCUGAACACAACACCUGACAUAGAAAAUUGCAGCACAUAUUUCUCCAUAUUUUACACAGUAGUAAGCCCCACUCCUCUGAUGAAGCUUGUUCACCUUCAUCUGGUCUUUGACUUUUCUAUACAACUGGUAACUCAAAACCUCAUGAACUGGUCAUAGGAGAGCUCCAAACUGAGCAAUCUGCUGCAAUCCAGUUUUCAGCUAAUCUGAACAAAAAUUCAGUCAGUGCAAACUCACAGUCCAUUUUUGGGCAGCUUUCACUCUAUUUUCCAUACACACCCAAACCAAACCUACUUAAGGAGAAUGGUUUACCAUCAUAUGAGCUUCUCUAUCUUAUGCAGAGCACAAAAUAUGCACAACUCGACUGAGGAAACCUUUGAAGUUACCUGGUCACGGCGAGGUGGACUGAUUGCCGACGAUGGUCACCACCUAGGGACUGGUACACCAAGCUCUGGGCAGAUGGACCAAGAUAUUGGGAGGGGAUUAACUCCGGGGAAACAUAGGCUACAAGAGCCAAGGAGAUCACUCGAGCUCUAGGACUGCACGGCCUACUGGACCAUGACUUAAGUAGGAGAUGGGAAGACUAGGGCAGAUCGAGUUGGUGGCUGGGAAGAGGAGCCUAGACUUACAAACACGAACCGCUAAGACACCAAGUGAAGCAACUAAAACGUGAGAACAGCAGGGAUUACAAUAGCAGUAUUUAAGCAAAGGGAUGGGAGACAGAUGUUCCAGAGCUCGGCCAGGACAUGAUGGAGGAGGACGCCGGGGACGCCAGCAGCCCCACGAUUAUGGACACGUAGCAGGAGUGCAUGGACAGCACAUAGGAGGUAAACGCAGGGGUGAUGAACCUCAUCCACGGCUGGGCACAAGACGACAAGCAGACAGGAGGAUGUGUCUGUUGUGAUCAAUCUAGUACAAGUUCAAUACAGUCCUUAGCUAGUAAACCAAGUCUCACGACCCUACCUCAUACCAGCCUUCACUUAUCCAAACAUUCCCUGGAAACCCAUGGAGUCCGUAGUGGGUGAAGAUCUUUACUGCAGAUAUUUUUGAUCCAUAUUGGACUGCCACUGCUCCACUUCACUUCUUCAUGUUCAGUGCCCUUAAUCUCACAAUUUCAUACAAUAACUAACCCUUCUUCCUUAACCAAAUUUAGUCACCAACUACAACCCUACCAACUUGGUAUAGCACCCCAAGGCUGCAACUAUACAGAACACAAGUUAUAGGCACCAAACUGGAGCCAAAAAGCACUGAAAAGUGCAGUUUCCGAUUAACUGAAGCAGCCCAAAACAGUCUGUCAGAGGGAGUUUAGAUGCAUACUACUCCAUAGUUUGCAUGAUACUAGGUCCAUCUCACUUUAGGAGACGUUUACCUCUUUAUUUGGUCUCUAAUUUCACUAUAUGAUUCUCAGUCCAAAUCUCAAUAGAAUGGUCACACUAGCACCACAAACUGGGUAUCAAGCACUGAAAUUUUGGUUUCAGCUGACUGAACUGAGUUCAGUCACAACCACUUUGACAGAGAAGAUUGGGAUAUACUUUACUCCUAGGUUUAUGUAGAACCAAGUCUAACUCUCUUUAGGAAACUUGUUCUCUGUACUAUGAGCUCCAACUUUUCUAUGGAAACUUUAGUCCAAAACCACUUGGAUUGAUCACAAAUGAGCUACAAACUGGGCACCAUUUACUGAAUUUCAGUUUUAGUUAACUGAACCAAUUUCAGUCACCAGUAACCCAAUAGUCCAUUUUCAGUUUACUUUUUCUCCACUUUUUGUGUAGGAUCAUAUCCAUCACCCGUAAAUACAUUUGUACACCAACUUAUGGUCUUCAAUUCCUCUAUAGAAACCAUAGCUCAAAACCUUAUGGAUUAUUCACAAGGAAGCUCCAAAGUAUGUCACAAUCACUGAAAUUCAGUUUUCAAUAACUGAAUAUAAUUAAGUUUCAGCCACAACACAGUCCCACUUUAAGCAGUUGUUACUCCAAUUCUUGUAUGGGAUCAUGUCCAUCACCCUUUAAGGAAGUUGUUCACCAAUAUAUGGUCUUUACUUCCUUCAUAAACAUCACAACCCAAAACCCUCUAGAUCAGCCAAAAACAGGCUCUAAAACAGCUAUCAAAACACAGAAAUCUGAUUUCAGACACUGUUCACAACCUGAAAUUUAAAAGUCUGACAGCCUCACUUUGGAUCACCUUUUUUCUCCUAGUUGUAUAUAGUUCGAGGGCUGUGACACUUAAUAACAGUUGUUCUCUCAUACUUAUUCUACAAGUUUCCUAUAGUGGUCAUUAACCAAAACCUCUUGGAUUCCAAACUACAAUAGCUCAAAGUUUGCUCCAAUUGCUGAAAUUCAGAAUCUGAAUUUCACUAAGUCUGAAACCUACAAUUUCUGACAGCUUUACUUUGGACCAGGUUUUCUCUAAGUUCCAAACAGUUUUAGUGCUAGGUGACUUAACCAAACUUAUACUCCUCAUGUAGCUCUAUAAUUUUGUUACAAUGACCAUCUUCAAACUGUUUAUAGAUCAAAAGUUAUGAAGGCCCAAAAACAGCUAGUUGAUAUUAUUUUCAACAAACUUCAAAUCUGAUUCAAAACUGAAUUAAGCUUUUUACUCCAACUUUUCCUCUCAAACUUGGAAUUCUCCAUACAUGAAAGUUGUUCAACUUUCCAAAAUCUACAACUUUGAUGUAUGGACCGCUAGCAAAUUCUCUCUAGAUUUAAAACUCCACUUUUGGGCUAGUUGAGGGUUUCAUUUGAGUUUGCCUUUCUCCAGACAAAUAUCUUCCAGUCUGAUCCCUCACUUAAAGCAAGGUUGCACUUUACCUCAAAGUCCAAUUUUGAUACUUGGAUUUCAUGGCCAAGGCAUUUUUAGCUUAGAAGUAGUUUGCUCUCACUCAACCACUCACUAACUCUUCAAACUCUUUAGCUCAUAUCAAUGCAACACACUAUCUUUGUUUCAAAAUUUUUAGACCUAGUAGAUGCACUCUAGGUGUAUCAAGCAAGAUAAUGCAAGUGCUUAUGAUGACAUGUCAGAAUUUUAGUUAUCGUAACACCAGGGGUGUUACACCUCCGAUCAUCGACCCCAGCAACGACGGCCGCCCUCUCCUCAUGGCUGAGAACGGGGAGGUCGGGGAUGACCACGGGUGGCGGCGCCUCAACCAUCCCGACGUCGGCGGCGACGGGCGGCUCCGCGGGCGAAUCAGCGACGGCCCCGACAGGAGUCGAUGCCGGCACCGGUAACAAGUCAGGCGGGCUCGGGGCCGCGGCCGCGUCAACGGCCUCCCCUGACAUGAUGGCCGCUCCAACAGGGGGUCAACCUGGGAGGCUUGCCCCAGGGCAACCCGUGCCGCCUGGGCCCCCCGCCGGAGGGCGCCUUGUGCGGAGGCCAGCCAACCGGCGUGGCACGCCGCAGCACCGGCUGCAGAAGCCGACUUCAUCUUAAGGGCCAUCGUGGGGGCCAGACCGGCCGAGCCCUGCCUCCGCUUGCUGAAAGAAAGAGAGAGAGCAAGUUCAAGACACACAGUGCAAAAAACCAAACAGAGGUAUCCUCAGAUACUUACCUGCUUCGGGGCAAGGCCAAUCGUGCAUGCGGGGAGGCCCCUCGGGCCCCGGUCUCCGCAGGCGCUGCCGAGGGUUGCCCCGCUGCCGGCUUCGGCGCCGCUUCCGCCUCGGGCGCCCGAGGCGCCGAAGGCGCGGCCUGUCCAGGCGUUGUCACGACGGCUGGGGGACCAACCUCCUGUAUAGCCGGCACGGGCACCUGCCCUUGGGGGGCAUGCGGUUCGGCCUGACCCCCCGGAGUCACCCCAAUUAUCUCAGCCAAGGGGUCAAGUACCCCCUCGGCCUGCCUCCGCUCCUCGGACCGGGACCUUGGUGUCCCGGCCCCAGGCACUUGCGGUGCCAGCCCACUUGGAGGCUGGCUCGGCGACCCCUGGCCUAGCCUCGGGUCCGGGCUGAGGCCAAGUCGGGCCGCCAUGUCAUCGUCUUCGUCAUCAUCAUCAUCAUCACCAUCAUUACCUGUUACCGGAGUAAUCUAGAUGGGACACCGGUCUUGUUCCUUCGUAGCCUAAGGCAGCUAGCUAGGGGUAGGGUAAUGAUGUAUCCCCUGUGGCGCGGUCGGUCCGAACCCGAGGUCGGGCGAGGCGGAGACUUCUCCCGAGGUCGAGGCCGAGGUCGGGCGAGGAUGUGACUCUUCCUGAGCCUGAGGCUGAGGCCGAGGCCUGGGGUCGGGCGAAGCGGAGACCUUCUCCCGAGGCCGAGGCUGAGGCCGAGGCCUGAGGUCAGGCGAGGCGGAGCUCCCUGUUGCGCCCGAGGCUGAAUUCGAGGGAGAUCGUGACUCAGUUUUACCCUGGUGGUUGGCACAGUAGUCGGAACGGGGUGAAUAGCGCUGUUUUCUUGUCAGAACGGUCAGUAAAGGGGCGAAGUGACUGGGGUCACUUCGACCUUGCCGACUGAGGCGCGCGUGUCAGGAUAAGGUGUCAGGCGAUCCCCACAUUAAAUGCGCAUGCGAUACGGUCGGUUGGUAAGGCGAUUUGGCCGAGGUCGUUGUACGACAAAGUCUGCCCGAGCUUGGCUUCGGGCGAGCCGAGGGUGCACCCACUGCCUGAGGAUGCCCUCGGGCGAGGCGUGAAUCCGUCCGGGACUACUGCUCUUGCCUAAGGCUGGGCUCGGAUGAGAUCACGUUCCUUGGUAGACGAGGCCUUGACUUGAACCGUGCUUAUCAGUCUUUACGGUUUGUUCUGAAGAUGUUUUCCAGCCAGGUUAAGGAGCAUUGGGGGUACCCCUAAUUACGGUACCCGACAGUAGCCCCCGAGCCUCGAAGGGAGUGUAGGUACUCGCUUGGAGGUUCUGCCAGAUUUCUUGCAAGGGGACCAGCCUUUCUCGGUUAUAUUUUGUUCCGAUGGGUGCGCACGAGCGCACCCGUCGGGUGUAGCCCCCGAGGCCUCAGAGGAGUGGUUUAACUUCUCUGAGGUCUUAAUUCUUUUUGUGAUGCCUCGGUCGGCCUUGUUGUUCCCUCAUGCGGCCUGGCCACAGCCUGGGUGCAUGGUUAGGCUCCGAGUUUUUAAGCUGGUUUGUUGACGUGGUCAACAGUUUGGUCGUAGCCUGGUGCGAGAGCAGCCCCCAAGCCUCUGCACGGAUGGAGAGGACGAUCAAGGACCGUCUCGAAUUUUAUUGUACGCCCCUUCAUCUCCUUUCCUCAAGGAGGAAGGGGGGGGGGAAGCGCCAUGUUACCCUCGGAGGGCACCGAACACGGUGUUUCCAGUGAGUUGCUAUCGGGUGAUCCGAGUGGACACCCGAGCCCCGUUCGAUAAGGGUCGGCUAGUGGCCUAGAGGCGCGCUCCAAAAGUACCUGCAGGUGAUUUGCUAGACCCGGACCCAUUUGAUAGGGUCCGAGGGCUCGGUGCCUCCCUCUGGUGGGAUUCCAUUACAAAUCAUUCCCGCUGGUCUCGGAAAUGUCCUAGGGUACCUCGGGAGCGUAGCCCGAGCCUCGGCCAUGUAACGGACGUACCCAGGGUCAUCCCUGACUCUGCGCGCUCUGGGGCGGCUGUCGAACCCUUCCAAGGGGCUAGCCUUCGAACCCCUGAUUAGUAAAGGGCUCGGAGCCCGAGUGCUCUGGGGCAGUUGCCGAACCCCGCAGGGCGCAACCUUCGAACCCCUGAUCAGUAGGAGGGCUUGGGACCCGUUUCCUUCGCUGAGAAGGAUCCUUUUCGAAAUAUCCCCUUUCCCGGUCCCUGUGGCAAGAGAGAGAGAGAGAGGAAAAGGAAAAGGAUAUAAAUUUAAAUAAUGUGGCGCACCUUUUUUGACGCGGUCAUGAAAGGGAAAUGUGCCCUUGGGCCAUUUCUAAGUGUUUUGGUGAUUUAGUGUCCAACACAAGUGCUUAAGUGUUAAUAUAUGCAAAGAGGUGGACAAAGUGCAAAUCAUGUCAAAAGGUAUAUUUCUAGACUUAGUACAUUAUUUUAUGGACUAAUGUAUUGUGUCUAAGUGCUGGAAACAGGAAAAAUCGAAUUGGAAAUGAGAUGGCUUUGUUCAGCCAAAGUCUGCUCAGUCUGGGAGCACCGGACUGUCCGGUGCGCCAGGCUGGCUCGAGCGAACUGGCCGCUCUCGGGAAUUCACCGGCAACGUACGACUAUAAUUCACCGGACUGUCCGGUGUGCACCGAACUGUCCGGUGAGCCAACGGUCGGCCGCGCGAUCUGCGCGGGACACGUGGCCGAGCCAACGGCUAGAAGGGGGCACCGGACUGUCCGGUGUGCACCGGACAUGUCUGGUGCGCCAACGGUCGGCUUCGCCGUAGAAGGAAAGAAAUCGGGCACCGGACACUGUCCGGUGUGCACCGGACUGUCCGGUGCGCCAGGCGACAGAAGGCAAGAAUUGCCUUCAUGGAAUGCUCUCAACGGCUCCUAGCUGCCUUGGGGCUAUAAAAGGGACCCCUAGGCGCAUGGAGGAGCACACCAAGCAUUCCUUGAGCAUUCUUGAUCACUCACACUCCAUUCUUGCGCACUUGUUCGACAUUCUAGUGAUUUGAGCUCCGUUCUAGUGUGCUAGUCUUUUGAGCUUAAGUCUGGGUCUUGUGUGUGCGUGUUUGCUGUGAUCUUUGUGUCUUGUGUGAGUUGCUCAUCCCUCCCUUACUCCGUACUUCUUUGUGAACAUCUUUGUAAGGGCGAGAGACUCCAAGUUGUGGAGAUUCCUCGCGAACGGGAUUAAGAAAAGCAAAGCAAAACACCGUGGUAUUCAAGUGGGUCUUUGGACCGCUUGAGAGGGGUUGAUUGCAACCCUCAUCCGUUGGGACGCCACAACGUGGAGUAGGCAAGCGUUGGUCUUGGCCGAACCACGGGAUAACCACCGUGCCAUCUCUGUGAUUGAUAUCUUUGUGGCUAUUGUGUUUUGUUGAGACUCCUCUAGCCACUUGGCAUUAUUGUACUAACGCUUAACCAAGUUUUUGUGGCUUAAGUUUCAAGUUUUACAGGAUCACCUAUUCACCCCCCCCUCUAGGUGCUCUCAGGUCAUCAUGACGGAGGUGAAACGGCGCCCGCUUCGCCUGCCAGAGGUGUCGCUUGCCCUGCCAGGGAGUUAAUGCGACGGGACGGGAGAUUUGCGGGGCGUAUGUUGUGCGUGCGCGAGUCGUUCAAGGAACGGAACACGGGUGCGUCGUCUUUAUGCCGUGGGAGAGGGCUCCCCUGCCGCUUCAGGAGAAGAUGCGAGCUUGUAGGUGAUUGGACCGCUGCUUCCGCACGUCUGUUGCUGUAAUUACUGCCGGCCCGUCUUUGGUCAUAUCAACCGUCGUGCCUAUUCCCGCGGCCGACCGACCCGUGACCGUCGCACUUAAUUGGCAUUGUUGGGUCAUGCGCGGGGCUGCCUCGAGUCGCUGCACCUGUUCUGCAGUCGAGAAGACGCGGCAUUGGCGCAAGUGGCGGUGCGGUUUCCUUGCACGUAGCAACCGGCGCGCCGGUUACACGACAUGUGGGCCCGGGCCUCCAUGCUGGACCGCCGGAUGCGACGAAGCCGAAAGGGUGCACAACCGUGGUGCGUUUCAUGCUUCUUGCGUGGCGGUCCUCCCUUUCGACCGUCGGUUUCGGCGAGGAUGAGGGAGUGCUUAUAACCGCGGGGCGGUUACAUGCUUCAUGUGCGGCAGUUUGCCUUCUUCGCAUUUCGGGUCAGCUCGUAUGACAUGUGGGACCCAGCCCCCGUGUCGUAGGGUGAGAACCCUGGAGCACGUCGGUGGAGACUUUGCCCGUGACGCUUGGGGGUGCGAGUGAGGAGAUCUGCCUUUAAAAAGGGAUCGAUCCCCUGGGCGGUAGCCAUGCCUUCGCACUCCUUGCAUUCAUCGCGUCUUUCCACCUUCCGAGCCCCCAGAUGGGGUGCAUCUGUGUUGCCUUCUUCUUGCUGCUGUUGGAGGAGCGCGACCUCGUGGGGGUUGGCGCUCUUCAGUCAUCGCUCGGCUUCAAGGAUUUUCAUCAUGCAGCCCGGCUGCAGUCCCCCGCCGGCGGUCACCCAGGAUGAUGAUCGUAGGCCUCGUGGUGGGGAAGAGCGAGCCGGGCAGUGGCCUCCCCCUGCCCUCAGCUUCAAGGAUGUUCAUCAUCCGUGCUGGGGAGGAGGGUGUGCCGAGUUGGGUCCCGCCGCCGCGUGGGCAGCGGCCCGCUCCUUCCCUCAGUGUUCGGGGGAGAAGGGCGUUCGCCGUCCAUGGCGCUAUCAGCUGCCGCGUGUCUGGCUCCCUGGCCUGAGCGGCUCUGGUGCUGCUUCCGGUGCCGCCUCCUACCGCUGGGGCGGAGCGUGGCUGCCCGUCCGCCGCACGGGUGUCGGUUGCGCCGUGCGCGGGCCGGCCACGUCCAGGUCCUUCCUGCGCCGCUGGCUGCACCGGGGGGUCGCACAACACGUCGUACGCCGCGAGGGCGGUGUUCGUGUUCUAGGACAAUCUCGUCCUCGCUCCUUUGGCGAGGACGGGAGUGAGGACCUGUCGGUGCGCGCUGGGGUGGCCGCCGUUCGCCGGUGCAGUGUUGGUGGGCAGGUGGCCGCUGUCGUCGGUGCUGAGGUGGUGGUCACCAUAGGUGAGGCUUUCCCCUGCAGAAGCGGUUGCCUCCGCCGACGAGACCGUCAGUGCCACCUGCGCUCUGGACCUCCAGCUCUUUGGCUUUAAUGGCUGGUUCUCGUCCCUCGUAGGGGGACGUGGGCGAGGGCCUUUUCACAGUAGCGUUUGCCCUGAGGCAAUCGCUGCUGCUGUCUAGCCGCCCGAGGCGGAGGUCGUUGUCGCUGCUGGUGCAGUGGUCACCGGCGAGCCGCUUGGAGUUCGUUAUCUCGCAGCCCCUCUGGUGUGGAGGUAGUUCAUUCCUGUGGGAAUGGAGCUGGAGUCCCGUUUGUAAGGGAAUGUACUGGUAUUUGCCUGAGAGCAAAAUGUAAUUGCUUCAAGUACUAAGACGUCUGUCGUAGGUCGGGAAAACCGCCGAGGGCGCUGCCGACGUCUAAGUCUAGAUACCAUAGUUACCCUAAGUAUGUGUGUUUGUUCUUUGUGGCUGCUGAGGCCUGAACAUUUGGGUAUAAAGCCAUGCUUCUUUCCUAUUGUUUCGAGCAUUAGGACUUGUUCGACGGUAGCAGAAUCACUUAUCCGAGCGUGAGCUACCCUUCGCUGAAGGUGACGAGUGAGGUAUCCGUAUCCCGGAGGCGUAGGAGUCCCUCGGCUCGGUCGGCCUUGCCGUUCAAGGUCUCUCUCGCUCGUGUUUAGGAUUCCGUUAUCGACGCAGUCGAAAGGCACGCCCAAGCUAUGGCCUUACAGCAGCGUGCUCGGGCCGAAGGUAUGUUUUGCCCGCUUUGUGACUUUGUUUUUGUCUCCAUUCUUCACCUCGUGUUUGAAGAAUUUUGUUCGGCUGUCUGCAGGGUUCGAGACGGCUCUUAACGAGUCCGUCAAGAACUGCAAGGUGCUUGCCCAGGCGACUGAGCAGAAGGAGGCCGACCACGUGGCCAUGUCCGAGGCUAUCUCGGCCUUCUGCCGGGCCUUUGGCCUUGACGAUGUCCCCUCGGGUAGCUCCCCCAGAGUCACCUGCGGCCCUUGGGCGACCAUGUGCGCAGCAGACUCCGCGGGGCGCUGCACCACAGCGUUAGGCGGGCCUUCGCCGUGCUCGCUUCCCACUACGACGUGGAUCUGGAGUGGGUCAGCGAGGGGUACUGCUUACCCGACGAAGAGGAGGCCGCCUUAGCCGUGGUCUAGAGGCUUGACGUGGUUAUCGAGGGCCCAAGCGCGACGCUGGCUUCCUCCUUUGAGGUGGAGAUCCUUCCGCCCGUGUCACCGUCCGAGGCUGGGCUAGGUUCCGCUGAGGGUGGAAACGACGCCGAGGGUGCUGCUCCUCCCCCUGCCGAUGUCUGAUCCUGCAUGAACAAUUUGUUUUAAUUAUGCGUAUGUUUUUUUUGUGGCCGCUGAGGCCUAAACAUUUUUAUUGUCGGAUUAUAAAGCCGCGUUUUCUUUCCUCUCGUUUCGUGCGUUAGGACUUGUUCGUCGGUAGCAGAAUCACUUGUCCGAGCGUGAGUUACUUUUCGCGAAAGGCAUGAGUGAGGUAUCCGUAUCCCGGAGGCGUAGGAGUCCCUCGGCUCGGUCGGCCUUGCCGUUUACGUGUUCCUCCCGUCGUUUUUAGGAUCCUGUUAUCGAUAUAGUCGAAAAGCACGAAAGUCGUUUUGGUAGAAAACUUUUCUGAGGAAAAUUUUGACGCAGAGGGGGUUCCCCCCUUCUAGCCCCUGAGGGAGGGUCGGGCUUUGCCGAGGCAAGGCUGAUCCUUCCUUGAUGGUUAGACUUUAUUUAUGCAUGUAAAGAAAGCAAGAUACAUGAACGACUUGAAACAUUUUAAGGAUAGAAGCGACAUAGCUGUUGGAUGUUCCAAGCGUUGUUGUAGACCUCGCCUUCUUUGUUGGCCAGCUUGUUUGUCCCGGGCUUCAAAAUCUUGGCGAUGAUGAACGGCCCUUCCCAGGGAGGAGUAAGCUUGUGGUGCCCUCGGGCGUCUUGUCGUUGCCGAAGCACCAAGUCUCCCACUUGGAAGCCUCGGGGCUGAACCCUUCGGGCGUGGUAGCGUCGCAAAGACUGCUGAUACCGCGCCGAGUGUAGUAAGGCUACGUCCCGAGCCUCUUCCAGCUGGUCCAAUGAAUCUUCUCGGCUGGUCUGGUUUCUUCGGUCGUCGUAUGCCUUUGUCCUUGGGGAACCGUAUUCUAAGUCCGUGGGUAGGACGGCCUCGAUCCCAUAGACUAGAAAGAAAGGCGAGAAACCCGUGGCCCGGCUCAACGUCGUCCUCAGACUCCAAACCACCGAGGGUAGUUCUUUUAUCCACCGCUUGCCAAACUUGUUGAGGUCGUUGUAGAUCCUCGGUUUUAGUCCCUGCAAAAUCAUGCCAUUGGCGCGCUCCACCUGCCCAUUUGUCAUUGGGUGAGCUACGGCGGUCCAGUCCACACGGAUGUGGUGGUCUUUGCAGAAGUCUAGGAACUUUUUCCCAGUGAACUGCGUGCCAUUGUCAGUGAUGAUGGAGUUUGGGACCCCAAAGCGAUGGAUGAUAUUUGUAAAGAACGCCACCGCCUGCUCGAACCCGAUGCUGGUUAAGGGUCAGACUUCGAUCCACUUGGAGAAUUUGUCGAUGGCGACCAGCAGGUGCGUGAAGCCACCGGGUGCCUUCUACAAGGGACCGACGUGGUACAGACCCCACACGACAAGCGGCUAGGUGAUGGGUAGUGUUUGCAGGGUCUGAGCGGGCAGGUGCGUCUGUCUCGCGUAGAAUUGACACCCUCGGUAGGAGCGUACAAUCCUAGUGGCGUCGGCCAUCGCGGUCGGCCAGUAGAAGCCUUGUCGUAAAGCGUUUCCCACGAGGGCCCGAGGUGCUGCAUGGUGACCGCAAUCCCCCGAGUGUAUUUCUUGUAACAGCUCUUGUCCUUGGGCGACAGAUAUGCAUCGUUGGAGAAUGCCUGAGGGGCUGCGGUGGUACAACUCCUUUUCAUCACCCAGUAAAACGAAUGACUUGGCACGCCGAGCCAGUCACCGAGCUUCGGCCUUGUGGAGGGGCAGCUCUCCUCGGAGGAGAUAUUCUAGGUAUGGGGUCUGCCAGUUCUGGUUUGGUGUAACCCCAUUCUGCUCUACCUCGACGCGCAGGGCCUCACCCUCGGCGGCCGAGGGUACCUCGGGCUGGGCCGAGGUUACCUCGGGUUCGAGCGCGUCGUCGAGUUUGACGGAUGGUUGAUAUAUGUCCCUGGAGAAGACGUCCGGGGAAAUCGUGGUUCGUCCCGAGGCUAUUUUAGCCAGCUCAUCUGUAGUCUCGUUGUACCGUCGAGCAACAUGGUUGAGUUCCAGCCCAUAGAACUUAUGUUCCAAGUGCCGAACUUCGUCGUAGUAGGCCUCCAUUUUUCGAUCGCGGCAGUGGGAGUUCUUCAUGACUUGGUUAAUAACAAGCUACGAGUCACCACGAGCGUCGAGGCGCCGAACCCCUAGCUCGACGGCGAUGCGCAAUCCAUUAACCAAAGCCUCGUACUCGGUCAUGUUGUUUGACGUCGGAAAAUGGAGGCGUAUAACGUAGCGCACAUGUUUCCCGAGGGGCGAGAUGAAGAGCAACCAGCACCUGCUUCGGUUUUCAUAAGCGACCCAUCGAAGUACAUGGUCCAAAGUUCGGCCUGGGUUGGAGCUGUCGGCAAUUGGCUGUCGACCCAUUCAGCCAGGAAGUCUGCCAAGACUUGAGAUUUUAUGGCCUUCCGAGGGGCGAAUGAAAGUGUUUCGCCCAUGAGCUCCACUGCACAUUUUGCAAUCCUACCCGAGGCCUCUCGGCACUGGAUGAUCUCUCCCAAGGGAAGGAUGACACCACAGUCACCGGAUGAGACUCGAAGUAGUGUCGCAACUUUCGUCGUGUCAGAAUCACUGCGUACAGUAGCUUCUGGAUUUGUGGGUAGCGGAUCUUGGUCUCGGAUAGCACCUCGCUGAUGAAGUAGACCGACCUCUGGAUGAGCAGUGCAUGCCCCUCUUCUCGUCUCUCAACUACGAUCGCGCCGCUGACCACCUGAGUGGUUGCGGCUACGUAAAUCAAGAGGGCUUCUCCCGCAGCGGGGGGCACCAAGACGGGCGCAUUAGUAAGGAGUGCCUUUAAGUUUCUGAGGGCUUCUUCGGCCUCGGGGGUCCAAGUGAAGCGCUCGGCCUUCCUUAAGAGGCGGUACAAAGGCAAUCCUUUCUCGCCAAGGCGCGAGAUGAAGCGGCUCAGAGCCGCAAGGCAUCCCAUGACCCUUUGUACUCCCUUUAAAUCUUUGAUGGGCCCCAUGUUGGUGAUGGAUGCGAUUUUCUCCGGGUUGGCCUCAAUGCCUCGUUCGGAGACGAUGAACCCCAGGAGCAUGCCUCGAGGGACUCCGAAGACACACUUCUCGGGAUCGAGUUUUACGCCCUUUGCACGCAGGCACCCGAAAGUUACUUCGAGGUCGGAGAGGGGGUCGGAGGCCUUUCUUGUUUUGACAACGAUGUUAUCGACAUAAGCCUCGACCGUUCUGCCGAUGUGCUCCCCGAACACAUGGUUCAUGCACCUUUGGUAGGUUGCACCUGCAUUCCUCAAGCCAAAUGGCAUAGUAGUAUAACAAUACAUGCCAAAAGGUGUGAUAAAAGAAGUCGCGAGCUGGUUGGACUCUUUCAUCUUGAUUUGGUGGUAGCCUGAAUAGGCGUCGAGGAAUGACAGGGUUUCGCACCCAGCAGUGGAGUCCACAAUUUGAUCGAUGCGAGGCAGAGGGUAGGGAACCUUCGGACAUACUUUAUUCAACCGAGUGUAGUCUACGCACAUCCUCCAUUUCCCACCUUUCUUCUUUACAAGCAUAGGGUUAGCUAACCAUUCUGGAUGGAAUACCUCUUUGAUGAACCCUGCAGCCAUUAGCUUGUGGACCUCCUCGCCUAUGGCUCUGUGCUUUUCUUCAUCAAAACGGCGCAGAUGCUGCUUCAUGGGUCGGGCACCGGCUCUGAUGUCUAGCGAGUGCUCGGCGACAUCCCUCGGUAUGUCGGGCAUGUCUGAGGGACUCCACGCAAAAAAUUCAGCGUUUGCGCGGAGAAAGUCGACGAGCACUACUUCCUAUUUGGGGUCGAGCUCAGAGCCGAUCCUAACUUUCUUGCCGGCGUCGUUGCUGGGGUCGAGAGGGACAAACUUAACCGCCUCGGCUGGUUCGAAGUUGCCGGCGUGGCACUUCGCAUCUGGCGCCUCCUUGGAGAGGCAAUCCAGGUUGGCGAUGAGGGCCUCGGACUCGGCGAUGGCCUCAGCGUACUCCACGCAUUCUACGUCGCACUCGUAAGCGUGGCGGUACGUGGAUCCGACAGUGAUGUUUCCCUUGAGGCCUGGCAUCUUGAGCUUGAGGUACGUGUAGUUGGGGACGGCCAUGAACUUGGCGUAGCACAGUCUUCCCAGCACCACGUGGUAGGUCCCUCGGAACCCAACCACCUCGAAAGUGAGGGUUUCCUUUUGGAAGUUGGAGGGAGUUCCGAAGCAAACGGGCAAAUCAAGUUGCCCAAGGGGCAGGACGCGCUUACCGGGGACGAUCCCGUGAAAAGGUGCUGCACCGGCCCGGAUCGUGGACAGAUCGACCCCCAAGAGCCCUAGGGUCUCGGCGUAGAUGAUGUUGAGGCUGCUGCCUCCAUCCAUGAGGACCUUGGUGAGCCUAGCGUUGCCGAUGACAGGGUCGACGACGAGCGGGUACCUUCCUGGGCUCGGUACGUAGUCGGGGUGGUCGCCUUGGUCGAAGGUGAUGGGCUUGUCGGACCAGUCUAGGUAGACCGGCGCCGCUACCUUCAUCGAGUAGACCUCCCGGCGCUCCUGCUUGUGGUGUCGAGCCGAAGCAUUCGCCACUUGCCCGUCGUAGAUCAUGAAGCAGUUAUGGGCCUUCGGGAACUCCUCUUCCUUGUCACCCCCUUCUUGUUGUUGCCUUGGUCCUUGCCGCCUUCUGCCGAGGGUCCCGCCUUGUUGAAGUAACGCCGGAGCAUGUCGCAUUCUUCAAGGGUGUGCUUGACGGGACCCCUGUGAUAGGGGCACGACUCCUUGAGCAUCUUGUCGAACAUGUUGGCCCCUCCGGGAGGCUUCCGAGGAUUCCUGUGCUCGGCAGCAGCGACGAGAUCCGCGUCAACGGCGUCGCGUUUUGCUUGCGCCUUCUUCCUGGUCUUCUUCUUCGUGCAACGCGGGGCGGACGCCUCAGGGGCAUCUUCCUUCUGUCUUCCCUAAGGCUGCUUGUCCUUCCGGAAGAUGGCUUCGACCGCCUCCUGACCAGAGGCGAACUUGGUGGCUAUGUCCAUCAAUUCGCUCGCCUUGGUGGGAGUCUUGCGUCCCAGUUUGCUCACCAGGUCUCAGCAAGUGGUGCCGGUGAGGAAUGCCCCAAUGACGUCCGAGUCGAUGAUGUUGGGCAGCUCGGUGCGCUGCUUUGAAAACCGCUAGAUGUACUCUCGUAGGGAUUCCCCUGGCUGCUGGCGGCAGCUUCGGAGAUCCCAUGAGUUCCCAGGGCAUACAUACAUACCUUGGAAAUUUCCAGCGAAGGCCUUGACUAGGUCGUCCCAGUCGGAGAUCUGCGUAGGAGGCAGAUGCUCUAGCCAGGCCCGGGCAGCGUCAGAGAGGAAAAGGGGGAGGUUGCGGAUGACGAGGUUGUCGUCGUCCGUCCCUCCCAACUGGCACGCCAGCCGGUAAUUCGCAAGCCACAACUCCGGCCUUGUCUCCCCUGAGUACUUGGUGAUGGUAGUCGGGGCUCGGAACCGGGCCGGGAACGGCGCCUGUCGUAUGGCCUAGCUGAAGAAUCGCGGACCUGGUGGUUCGGGCGAGGGGCUCCGAUCCUCCUCACUGUCGUAGCGUCCUCCGCGCCUAGGGUGGUAGCCUCGGCGCACCCUUUCCUCAAGGCGGGCUUGACGGUCGCGGCGGUGUUGUUCGCUGCCGAGGCGGUCCUGGGCUGCAGGCGUCCCGUCCUGUGUGCGCUCGGUGUGGACCGAGGCCUCCCGCAUGCGUCGGGAGGACGUUGCGCGAUGCUCCGAGGGGCACCCUCGCCUUCGGGAGGCAGAGCUUUCGGCUCGUCGGACUGCGGCAUCUUCCAGGAGAUCCUUGAGUUCGCCCUGGAUACGCCGCCCCUCGGUGGUGGAUGGCUCCGGCAUUGUUCGAAGUAAGAUCGCCGCUGCAGCUAGGUUCUGGCCGGCCCCGCUGAAGGCCGGGGGCAGCCCUGCCCUGGCAUCAUCAACGAUACGGCGCUGGACGUCCCAGGCCCGAUGACGCGCUCCUCCGGCGAGUGCUCGGCCUGCCCACUCCUGCUCGAUGUUUUGUCGGAGCUGCACAAGCCGCCCCACUUCUUUGUCGAGCUUGGCUUGCAUCUCGCGGAGUUGCUCGAGUUGUGUGUCCUGACCCCCCGCAGGGACUCGGACCACAGCUAGCUCCCGCGGGAUCUCAACGCGAGACGCAGGCGCAGAGGCGUCGUCGUUCUCGGGCAUGCCGAGGCGGUCGUCUUUGUCGUGAUCCCCCUGAUCGAUGUGGAAACACUCGCAACUUGGGUCGUAACCCUCGUCGUCAAGGCUGCGACCAUCGUCAGAGCAACCGGAGAGGCAGUAGUCACAUGCGGACAUGAAGUCUCGCAUGGCACUGGGAUCACUCAGUCCGGAGAAAUCCCAACCGAAGUCGGGGUCGUCCUCUUCCUCAGAACCCGCGGGUCUGUAGGUUGAGACGGCCGUCAGUUGGUCCCAGAUUGACCACAUAUGGUACCCUGGAAGGUCAGGAUAUGCCCUCGCGAAAGCGCUCACUGAAGAGGGGUCGCUUGGUGGAUCGAAGCUGAAUCUAAAGGGAACAGGGUGGAAGACUGAUGGUACCUCCUCAUCGAUGGACGGUGGUGAAGUCGCAUCGGGGACGAAGUGCGUCGUUAUCUCAGGUGCGAGACAAAUGCCCGACAAGUCCCUCGCAAGGGUGCCAGCGUCAUUAGUCCGCUUGAGGUUGGCACGUUGUUGGGAAGCGACACCCGUCGUUGUCUCAGGUGCGAGGACAACUCCCAACAUGUCCCCCCGCAGGGGUGCCGACGUCGUCGACUCGCUUUGGUCCGACAGCCGACGAGGUGCCGCCUCUUGCCUAGCCACGGUUGCCCCGUCUUCUCCUCCUCCGGCGGAGAGUGGCGGGACAAACCCGGGUGUUCGUCUUCCACCACGGGGGAAAGUCGUCGUCGAGUUCGCCGCCGCCGGGCGAGCCGAUGACCGUCAUUGUUGUCGUGCUACGAGGGGAGGAGUACCAUGUCGUAGCUGCCGUCGUGGGACAUGAACUCGAGACUCCCGAAGCGGAGCACCGUCCCGGGCUGAAGAGGCUGCUGAAGACUGUCCAUCUGGAACUCAACGGGAAAGUGUUUGUCAACACGUAGCAGGCCCCUACCUGGCACGCCAACUGUCGGCGUUUUGGACCUGCAAGGACCCUCAACUGACUAGUGAAUUUGUCGCUGCGUGUCCCUGCCCAGAUGGGUUGAUGCAAGAUGGAAUACAAGAGGGAGGAUGAGGCUUAUAUUAUCUUGCACCGGGGUGCUCGUAGUAGGGGUUACAAGCGUCGCGCGAGAGAGAGAGAGUCUGGCCCUGAGGUGAGUUGUCUGAGUUAGCCUCCUCUGUGUUUCUCCUACUCUGCCUGCCUCUGCUCUCCUCCGCCUUUUUUCCUCUGCCCCUUAGGAAGGCCCUGGACAUCCCCUUUUAUAGAUACAAGGAGAUGGCCCAGCUGUACAAUGGGGGUGUAGCUAUGUGCUAACGUGGCCAUCGGAGAAGUGCCUGAGCCCUGUAUAUGUGCUAACGUGGAUGUCGGAGAAGUGCUUGAGCCCUGUAGAAGCGUAGCUGAUGGGGCGGCCUGGGGUCCUGCUGACGUUUCUUUGCUUUCGUAGAGGCUUGAGAACAAUCCGACGUCAUGGACGCACGCGGGGAACCAUCAUUACCUGUUACCGGAGUAAUCUAGAUGGGACACCGGUCUUGUUCCUUGGUAGCCUGAGGCAGCUAGCUAGGGGUAGGGUAAUGAUGUAUAUGUAUCCCCUGUGGCGCGGUCGAUCCGAGCCCGAGGUCGGGCGAGGCGGAGACUUCUCCCGAGGCCGAGGCCGAGGUCGGGCGAGGAUGUGACUCCUCCCGAGCCUGAGGCUGAGGCCGAGGCCUGGGGUCGGGCGAAGCGGAGACCUUCUCCCGAGGCUGAGGCCGAGGCCUGAGGUCGGGCGAGGCGGAGCUCCCUGUUGCGCCCGAGGCUGAAUUCGGGGGAGAUCGUGACUCAGUUUUACCCUGGUGCUUGGCACAGUAGUCGGAACGGGGUGAAUAGCGAUGUUUUCCUGUCGGAACAGUUAGUAAAGGGGCGAAGUGACUGCGGUCACUUCGACCUUGCCGACUGAGGCGCGUGUGUCAGGAUAAGGUGUCAGGCGAUCCCCGCAUUAAAUGCGCAUGCGAUACGGUCGGUUGGUAAGGUGAUUUGGCCGAGGUCGCUGUACGACAAAGUCUGCCCGAGCUUGGCUUCGGGCGAGCCGAGGGUGCGCCCACUGCCUGAGGAUGCCCUCGGGCGAGGCGUGAAUCCGUCUGGGACUACUGCUCUUGCCCGAGGCUGGGCUCGGAUGAGAUCGCGUCCCUUGGUAGACGAGUCCUUGACUUGAACCGUGUUUAUCAGUCUUUACGGUUUGUUCUGAAGAUGUUUUCCAGCCAGGUUAAGGAGCAUUGGGGGUACCCCUAAUUACGGUACCCGGCAAGUUUAUAAUACAUUUGAGUAUAGAUACAUAUCGACGCACCUAAGUUGGAGAAGGUGUUGUAUCAUGUAAUCCUGAGAUAUCAGCGGCUAAAAUUGAGGGAAAAUGAAUGAUUGUUGUGGUUGCUCUGAAAACCAAGACUGUUGCAAAUAUAGUAUAUUAGUUAUAGGACAAAUAUACGACCGUGUUGAGAAUAAAUGAGACACUCACGUUCACUUUUUUGUUGCGCCUGUGCGUUGUAAGCAGCAAUGUACUCUGAUUGUUGUCAGAUGAAUGCCAUUUUCUCUUAUCGCAACUCUUCAUGAAACCUUCCUUGCUGCUCCCUUAUUGUCACACCCGGUUUUGGAAGGUAAACCGAAUGCGAACCAUGUACGUGCCAGGAUCAGAAAUUCACGUACACGGCGAUUACAUAAAUGACUCAUCAUAGCACAAUGCUUCGAAUAACAAUAAAGAUAAGUAAUAAUAUGAAAGACUAGAGUCAUUUACAUAAUAUAACCAAAGUACACAGAACAGAAACGUAGCCAACGUAAAUAAACCCACCACAGGCAGCUGACUGGGGGAGGUCGCUAGCCUAAUCCUCAAACUCGCCGAAGUCCUGAAACUCCCGGAGAUCCGCCUCGACGCCUUCUUCUUUACUUGAGCAUAGAUUGCACCAAAGGCAACAUGGUGUUUUGUGAAAGCAAGGGUGAGUACACAUCAACGUACUCAGCAAAUGCCCCGUUUGGCUGAAGUGGACUAGCUUUUUAUGUGGGGUUAAGCUCAAGCAGUUGCUUUUAGUUGGUCAGGUAUUUAUUAUCAGUGGAAGCCAAGUUUUAGUAAUAACCAACCCGUGAACCAUUUCCUCAUCGAGGAAACAUCAUUAUCAUCAUCGAACCAAAAUCAUAAAUAGAACCAUAACAUCUUGAACCAUCUGUAUCUCUAAUCAAAGAGGAUCCCAAGGCCGCUCAUAACCGUGAGCAUGGCUGAUAUAUCAGUUUCACUACCCUCUGCAGAGGUCGCACACUUUACCCAUGAGUCGUGAUUCCCAUUUUGCCCGGGGAUCAUGACUCCCCAUUGAUCACUUCCUAGGUGGUCCGGCAGGGUAUCACUACGUAGCUUUUACAAAGAUUCCCUAGAGGUCAUAGCCGCCUGUUAGGUUUCUCCAGUUUGAUAAACACAGUACCCCUCCCCGCAGGAGAGUGACUAACCAAAAAGCAAAACGAAAGAACCUCGGCACUCAGCCUCGGCAGAGCAAGCACUGUGCUUGGACCCCAUUGACGACACGACGGCGAAGCAACUACACCUCUAGUUCCUCUAAUUAAUUAGCUAAGGGCAUCACAUUUCACCCUCAUGGUUGCACUGUUAUCCCGGGUGGUCUCUCAACGAACAGGUCCUUACGGAGAGGUACUCGGGAAACAGCCCGAGUCCCCUAAAUGCCACAAGUAUAUCAUCAUAUCCAGAAUAAAAUCAUAGUAUCAUCAUUGUAUCUCAUCUUGUUCAUUGAUUAAAGUAAAGCGCUAGCAUGUAGCUAACCAUAACACGCACGACAGGCGAGAGAACUAAAUAGGUGACGUGUUUAUACUAAACAAGUAUUAAUAAGAAUAUUUAAUUCGAUAUAAUUAUAUUAAUUAGCAUUUAUGAAAUAUAGAUUAAAGCUACUUAGUUUUGACUAACUUACUGUUUUUAUUGUGGAUGAUUAAAUAAAUAAAUAAUUAACUGACAUGAGUGAUUAUAAGGGAAUAGUUUAAUCUCGCGCGCGGACAACGCGCGAUACGCGCGAACGGCGUGGCAAGGCGCGCGACACACGCGAACGGCGCGCGGCAACACGUGCGAACAAUACGCGCGACACUCGCGAGUGAUGUGCGACGAAGCGGACAAACAACGCGUGACGACACGCGCGGCAGCGCGCGAAACGGCACGCGGCAACACGUGAAACAGCAUGGCGCGUGAACGACACGCAUGACACGCGCGAAGCAACGCACGUGACACUCAAGAAUAACAUAUUGAUGCCAUGUUUAUACUAAGAAUCUAUUAAUUUAAAAUGGUUGAGUUGACAUUAAUCAUAUUAACAUGUAUUUAAAAAACAAAAAUUAAAACUAUACAUUAGGUUUAAUUGGAAGGUCAUUUUUAAUAACUACCGAACGAACAAUUAAUUAAUUAGUUAAAUAAACAUGUGUCAUGACCAAAUAGUACUUUCAAUGAGUAUACAAUAUUAUUGCGAAGUUGACACAACUAAAACGAGUCGAAAUAAGUUUACGAUGCAAAAGAUAUUGAAUACUUAAUCAGCCACAGUUUACUACGAUCUGACGCAAUUCUAUUGGCUGAUGGCUUACCACACUGAGAGCCACACAAAGAAAAGCCACAAAGCAUCCUGGGAUCUAGCUAGAUCGUGGUGCACUAGGAGAUUGAAACGUGGCCAUGAAUCAUGGGAAUAGACUAACGGUUCCCUUUUCUGGCUUCUUCAACCCACGAACACAUAUUUUCCUCUCUCCUACACCUUUGACGGAACGAGUGGUUGCAAAGCACGGGGGUCGCAUGGGAGGCAGGGCACGGCUGGGUGGGCUCGCCGGCGAGCGGGGCUUACGGUGGCGAUUGGGCGCGCAGGGGCUCUGCCCAGGCCGUUGCGCCUGGCAGCAGGCCGGCUAGCUGUGCCGUCGUGCCGAGGCUGGCGGUUCGGUCAGCCAUGGCCGCGAAGGGCGUUGUAGGGAGGGGCUGCAAGGGUAGACGCACGACCACACAACAGAGAGAGCGAGGACGGCUCAGCCGACUUCGCCGGGGAAGCGCGAAUGACGAUGGAUCGCCAUUGCCACAGCUCGGACGAGGCAAAGAAAACAAAAGAGAUGGCCACGCUCUGUACUCUCACCUUGCGACGAACUCGAUGAGGGAGAAUCACGGGCGUAGCCUUCUCCGGGCAUGGCAACGCGUAGCUUGGUGGCGAGCGCAACUCCAGGACUGCUAUGCAACUGAACUGCAGGGGGCUUGAAGUCCGAGCAACGUGGGCGGGCCAUGAUGGAGUGGGGGCUAGUUUCCUUGGCGUUCGGAUGCACGGGGCUGAGGCAGUUGUGAAGGGGGAAGCAAGGAGAUGAUAUGGGGGCCCGCUGCGCAAACAACG